rnacentral:rRNA from 1 species
GUACACUCCUGCGGGAGGCAGCAGUGGGGAAUAUUGGACAAUGGGCGCAAGCCUGAUCCAGCCAUGCCGCGUGAGUGAUGAAGGCCCUAGGGUUGUAAAGCUCUUUCACCGGUGAAGAUAAUGACGGUAACCGGAGAAGAAGCCCCGGCUAACUUCGUGCCAGCAGCCGCGGUAAUACGAAGGGGGCUAGCGUUGUUCGGAUUUACUGGGCGUAAAGCGCACGUAGGCGGACUAUUAAGUCAGGGGUGAAAUCCCGGGGCUCAACCCCGGAACUGCCUUUGAUACUGGUAGUCUUGAGUUCGAGAGAGGUGAGUGGAAUUCCGAGUGUAGAGGUGAAAUUCGUAGAUAUUCGGAGGAACACCAGUGGCGAAGGCGGCUCACUGGCUCGAUACUGACGCUGAGGUGCGAAAGCGUGGGGAGCAAACAGGAUUAGAUACCCGAGUAGUCC